CCUGAGCCAUCAUGGGAAAUAAGAAAAAAUGGAGCUGACUCAUGUGAAAAAUCUGGAACAAAGAAGUUGCAGCAAAAAAAAAAAAAAAAAACAACAACAACUAAGGAAUGAUUAAUAGAAUUGCUCUUCAGCAGUUCAGUUCAGUUAGUCUAUUGGAACUUGGAAAUGACAUCUUUACUGUUUAUUACUCUCUCCAUUUCAAUUUGUUUGUACUAUUCUGACCUGAAACGAAGUUUACUUAAAUGUAUGUUGUGUAUGCCAAUAAAAUGAGUCAAUGCUCAAUAAUGGAUUACGUCCACGUACACAGUUUCUUCCAUGUUCUGGCUAAGCUUCUUUCAUUCAAGAGAAUUCUUUCAUGUUCUAGAGAGCCUUUGAACUAGUUUAGUAUAAAACAAUCUAUAGUUUAUUAUACCACGCACACCAAUUGUUUUUGAAAAUGGCUGAUGACCAGCUCCAUAUUUUUUUCUUUCCAAUGAUGGCGCAGGGCCACAUAAUUCCUACUUUAGACAUGGCCAAAUUGUUCGUUUCGCGUGGUGCACAGGCAACUAUUAUCACCACUCCACUGAACUUACCCAUCUUCAUCCAAGCCAUUGAAAAAAUCAAACACUUGGGACUGGAAAUUUACGUCAAAGCCAUCAGAUUCCCAGCAGUGGAAGCUGGUUUGCCUGAAGGGUGUGAAAGAAUGGAUCAAUUGAAUUCUGAUGAUUUGGUCCCCAAAUUCUUCAAGGCCACCACCAUGCUUCAGCAACAACUCGAGCUACUCCUACAUGAAUGUCACCCCAAUGCUCUCAUUGCUGACAUGUUCUUCCCUUGGGCUACAGAAUCAGCGGCCAAAUUUGAUAUUCCAAGAUUGGUAUUUCAUGGGAUGGGCUUCUUUGCCCUUAGUGCUUCCGAGAACCUUAGGCACUACAAGCCUCAGAAGAAUGUGUGUUCGGAUACUGAACCUUUCGUUGUCCCGAAUCUUCCCCACAAGGAUGAAAUUAGCCCCAUUAUGAUCAAGAAGAAACAUACAUGACUAACUUCAUCGAACAAGUGAAGGAAUCCGAGUCAACAAGUUUUGGGGUCAGUUGUCAAUAGCUUGUAUGAGCUUGAACCAGAUUAUGCUGAUUAUUACAGAAAGGUUUUGGGUAAACGAGCAUGGCACAUUGGACCCAUUUUGCUCUGCAACAGAAAAAAUGAGGAAAAAUUCCCAAAAAGUGACGACAAACAUGAGUGCUUGCAAUGGCUGGACACAGAGAAACACAAUCCAGUUAUCUAUGUUUGUUUCAGGAGCCUGUCAAACUUUACUGAUUCCCAAAUUGAAGAAAUUGCAUUGGGCCUUGAAACUUCAGAGCAAGAAUUCAUAUGGGUAGUGAGGAAAGGCAAGAUCCUAGAAGGAUUCGAGGAAAGAACGAAAGGAACAGGCUUAAUCAUAAGAGGAUGGGCACCCCAAGUGCUAAUUCUUGAUCACGAAGCUAUAGGAGCUUUUGUGACUCACUGGGGGUGGAAUUCGAUGCUUGAAGGAGUAUCAGCAGGGGUUCCAAUGGUGACUUGGCCUAUGUUUGCAGAUCAAUUCUUCAAUGAGCAAUUGAUAACACAAGUAGUGAGAAUUGGGAGUCGCAGUUGGGGCAGAGCAACGGAGCAUAAUAGUGGAAAGUGUCAAAAGUGAAGCAAUUGCAAAGGCAAUGAAGCGUGUAGUGAUUGGGGAAGAAGCAAAGGAAAUGAGGAGCAGAGCAACAGAAGUUAAGAAAAUGGCGAACAAGGCUGUUGAAGGUGGAUCAUCUUACGGUGAUUUGAAUGCACUCUUUCAAGAACUAAGAACCUUUAAUUUUCCACAAGUAAAAUUAUAUAA